rnacentral:rRNA from 1 species
UACGUAGGGCGCAAGCGUUGUCCGGAAUUAUUGGGCGUAAAGAGCUCGUAGGCGGUCUGUUGCGUCUGCCGUGAAAACCCGAGGCUUAACCUCGGGCCUGCGGUGGAUACGGGCAGACUAGAGGUAGGUAGGGGAGAAUGGAAUUCCCGGUGUAGCGGUGAAAUGCGCAGAUAUCGGGAGGAACACCGGUGGCGAAGGCGGUUCUCUGGGCCUUACCUGACGCUGAGGAGCGAAAGCGUGGGGAGCGAACAGG